rnacentral:tRNA from 1 species
GCCUGGUUGGCCGAGUGGUUGAGGCGCUGCGGGGGCGCGCCAACCCGGGAGCGUGCACCCAUAAGCGAGUGCCCCCAAGGUUGGCGCGUCUUCCAGAGACCCUGGGUUCGAAUGCCAGAUCGGGCA